rnacentral:misc_RNA from 1 species
AACCAUUCUCACCUGCGGCUAGACCUGCGGAAGGAUCAUUAACAAACAAAGAAUUUUGUAUUCUUAAACCCCUUCUGAGUACUUGUACUUGUUGCUUCCGUGGUCAGUGGGCAUCAUGCUUGCAUCUACCAUCAUGGUGGAUCCACGGAAGGUGUUAUAUAUAUAAACUCUGUCAUUUUGUGGUAUCAGUCUGAGUAUGUUCAAGUUACAAAUGUUAAAACUUUUAACAAUGGAUCUCAG